rnacentral:rRNA from 1 species
UGGGGAAUUUUGGACAAUGGGCGCAAGCCUGAUCCAGCCAUGCCGCGUGCGGGAAGAAGGCCUUCGGGUUGUAAACCGCUUUUGUCAGGGAAGAAAUCUUCUGAGUUAAUACCUCGGGAGGAUGACGGUACCUGAAGAAUAAGCACCGGCUAACUACGUGCCAGCAGCCGCGGUAAUACGUAGGGUGCAAGCGUUAAUCGGAAUUACUGGGCGUAAAGCGUGCGCAGGCGGUUUUGUAAGACAGAGGUGAAAUCCCCGGGCUCAACCUGGGAACUGCCUUUGUGACUGCAAGGCUUGAGUGCGGCAGAGGGGGGAUGGAAUUCCGCGUGUAGCAGUGAAAUGCGUAGAUAUGCGGAGGAACACCGAUGGCGAAGGCAAUCCCCUGGGCCUGCACUGACGCUCAUGCACGAAAGCGUGGGGAGCAAACAGGAUUAGAUACCCUGGUAGUCCACGCCCUAAACGAUGUCAACUGGUUGUUGGGAAGGUUCCUUCUCAGUAACGUAGCUAACGCGUGAAGUUGACCGCCUGGGGAGUACGGCCGCAAGGUUGAAACUCAAAUGAAUUGACGGGG